AACACUUUGGGGUAUCCACCCAGUGUUAUAAACAGCUGAGUAGCAUAUUAUAUAGGUACUUUAUAGGUUAGAAAAUGGUAUGUUUAUUUUGGUAAGAUUGGGUAGUUGAAAUGUCUUCGACACGGAUGUCAUAGUGGGUCAGUCAAGGACUGAGACCUGUAGUGAUAUUUUCAACUUUACCUAUACGCUUUUAGCUAUAUUGAGUGGACAAAACUUACCGGAGCGGUAGGUCAGUAUGUGCGUUCACUCCGUUGCAUUUUGCGCAUCCAUGUCGUGUUCCUGCGUUGUGCUAGGACACAGGCACUUUGUUUUCGUUGUGGUAUAUACAUUUCACAAUUGAAACACAUUUUAAAACAUAGAAAUACCACGUAUUAACAGUAUGAUUUCGAUAAAACCGAGCAGUUGUUUAUUUCAGCGGUAGACACUGACGGCUGUCAAUGUCAUUUGGUUUUUUUUGUCCAUGGUUCCGUAACAGAUGGUCGGUCACACUUGUUGUACGACAAUAAACAUAUACUUGUGGUUCUUUUAUCUUUUUAUAAUUUCCAAUUAUUAAUAAAGUCCGUAUUAUUUGCUUCCCAAAAUGAGUAACUCUUUUUAUUGUUGAUGUUUCGAAUUAUUCCGAGGGUCAAACCGGUCAGUCGCCGUAUCCAUUGAAUGGGUAGGUUUUCAUUCAUCAGUUUGUCUAUGGUUUCUCGGAUUGGAAUUUUGAUAAAUGAUUGUUCGAUCGAUCUUCAAGAUGUGAAGUAUAUUAGAAAAUCUUUCGGCAAUCAAUCUUAGGGCUCGUCCCAAAAUGUGCAUAAUUUAGAGUCUUAGAGCCUACCUAAAAUGGCGGCUGCUAAUCUUUUCCCUUCAAUUUAACAUAACUUGUGUUUUAUGUGGAUUUUCCAGCAAAACCUAAUGUAACGUCAACCACCUCUUCGUCUUGCCACGCGGUCUGCAGGCGCCGUCGUUGGUAUAGGAAAUAAUGGACCCGGCAUAAACCCCGGUAAGUCAUUUAAUCGCUUCAUUGCCGUAAUUUAAAUCGCGCUGUGCCUCAGUUUAAAAUAUAAUUUUUCUAUAAAGCUAAACGUGUUAAAACAUAAUUUUUUUUAACCUAGAACAUUUUCUUUGUUCUUAGGGUUCUUUCCUGGACCCUGAUUUUUCCUGGACCCUGGUUUUUUCCUGGACCCUGGUUUUUUCUGGACCCUGGUUCUCUAAGGCUGUGCCAUCCGGUGGCAGCGUUCUUCUUGGCAGUGUCCGUGAAGUUAAGACUUUUAUGAAUAUACCUUUAGUUAAAUAUGGACUCUUUACGCUGAACAGGUAACCUGUAAUCCCUGUGAGCAAUUGCUUACUGCUAAACAUCCCCGGAGGUUGGGGCAUAACUUUUACUUUAGACAGUGUUAUGUUAGGAAGACAAAUUUUGAUAUUGUUGUCCGUAGACACAGAGAUGUCUAUGAUGUAUUUAGUGUAAAUUUCAAGAAAUAGUGGUGUCACUAAGAAGUAUUUAGUAUUACUUAUUUACUAAUAAAUAACUCGUGUUGACCGUAGCGGGUCAUAUAUAUUUAAGGAAUAAACUGUGUAUUAAAUAAA